UACAGAGGGGGCAAGCGUUAUUCGGAAUUAUUGGGCGUAAAGGGCGCGUAGGCGGCCUUUCAAGUGACGGGUGAAAGCCCUCGGCUUAACCGAGGAACUGCCUGUCAGACUGGAAGGCUUGAGACCGGGAGAGGUGAGUGGAAUUCCCAGUGUAGCGGUGAAAUGCGCAGAUAUCGGGAGGAACACCUAUGGCGAAGGCAGCUCGCUGGGACGUUACUGACGCUGAGACGCGAAAGCGUGGGGAGCAAACAGG
rnacentral:rRNA from 1 species